GACGAACGCUGGCGGCGUGCCUAAUACAUGCAAGUCGAACGCACUCUCGUUUAGAUUGAAGGAGCUUGCUCCUGAUUGAUAAACAUUUGAGUGAGUGGCGGACGGGUGAGUAACACGUGGGUAACCUGCCCUAAAGUGGGGGAUAACAUUUGGAAACAGAUGCUAAUACCGCAUAAAACCUAACACCGCAUGGUGUAGGGUUGAAAGAUGGUUUCGGCUAUCACUUUAGGAUGGACCCGCGGUGCAUUAGUUAGUUGGUGAGGUAAAGGCUCACCAAGACCGUGAUGCAUAGCCGACCUGAGAGGGUAAUCGGCCACACUGGGACUGAGACACGGCCCAGACUCCUACGGGAGGCAGCAGUAGGGAAUCUUCCACAAUAGGACGAAAGUACUGAU
rnacentral:rRNA from 1 species